GAAACUGAGUUAUUUUAUUUAUAAUAAUAAAAUAAAGAAAACAAAACAGCCGGGUAUAGUUUAAACCCAAUCAGAAAAACGGAAAUAAACAAACAAAAUAAAACAACCCAACGCAGAGCUGGCAUCUAUUCAAUAGAGCAUUCUAGAACUCUUUCAUUUCCCAAAGCCACAUUCACUUUCCCUUUACAUGGACCAUCAGCAGCGCCAUGGAAUCCAAAACAACAACCCUUUGUUCCUAGGUUUCAAUCACGCUGUACACCUCCACUGUCCAUACCCGAGGCACCCUGAAACUCGUCGAAACAGCGACCCAUCACCACCUCAAGGAAACUCGCCUCUCCAAGUCGUCCCUCAUCACAUUCCCCACCCAGCCUUAAUCCCGAGUCUCGUACACCCACCCUAGGUAACAGCAGUCUUCGGUAACCUCCCACACCCCCAAAAUCCGUUAUUGUUCCUUCCCCCCGCCUUCAUACUCCUUCCAAAACCCUUUUUGAGGAACAUAACCUCGACGCCCAGUGCGAUGACGUCAGAGAAGGAUCCCACCAUUUCUUCCCCCUUCCUCCAACUGCCGGUCUCACCGAUCAUUCUCCACCGCGUCCCUCGCGAAGUCCGACACACAUUCUCUCAGAUAAGUAAUCCCACCCCUCCUCAAAUCCUCCCUUGCUAUUAUAUGGACGACUUUAUUGGCAUCCUUGGGAACAUGCCGGAAUAAGAAUUCAUCUUCUUUAUCACUGACAGGGCGUCACCUUCCAGCAGUACCUCCUCAAUCCUUAGAUCUAACCUCAAGCUCACUGCCACCAUUAUGUUUUAGUUUUAUUGAUACUUGUCAUUGUGCUUUUAAAUUAAAGAUAAACUGACCACCUUACUCCAAUUUUAUAAUGAAUAUUGUCACUUCGAAUUUUGAAA